CGUCCGCCUGCUCCACGGCGUCCCCGGGCCUGAGGACACGGGACGACUGGGCCCCCCCCAGCUCUGGCCGCUCGCCCGACGCCCGAGUCCUUUCAGCCUCCGGGUGAACUCAAGCGCCGCUGCGCUCACGGCCCGUCGGGCCACCAGGGGGCGCCCGCCCGCCCGGCGCGGGGCUGAGGCUGCUCUCUUUCCGGGGACUCAACGAAGGCAGGCGGAGGUGCCUUCCAAAAUGCACCUUGGGCCGACUGGUUCACAAUGAAUAAAAAGACAUUUAUUAUGUAAGUGCAACAGCAGGUGGCUUUCCCUACCCUCUUCUCGGAGAUGAGGUACCAGGUGCAGAGGAACCCCGGCUUUUACCGAGGGGACGGACUUGGGGGCCAAAGCCAGGGUGUGCAAGGCUGGUGGGAACGCGCUGCCUGAAUAUGGCCAAGUCUCCGGCAGAACAGCAUUUAAGCUUCGAACAUGUGAUACGUGACUGGAUGGAAUUCCUGGAGAACUGUAUUAACACGUUUCAAAGAGUUGAAUCCUGAGACUUGAAUAGAAACAUUGGCUCUUCCUGGAUCUCCAACCUGCCAGCCUUUGAACUAGAACUAUACUGUUGGCUCUCUUGGGUCUCCAGCUGACUGACUAUAGAUCUUGGGACUCGUCAGCCUGCAUAAUCAUGCAACAGCGGUACAACGGUGGAGAAAGUUGUUAAAGUGCCUCCUCAUUUUUGGCUGGAUGUGAUAAAUCUUUUUGCUCAUAGCACACACAUACCUACUUACUUCACCUCCAAGUUAGUUUUUUGGGGACUUUUUUAUCAACAGUAACAUAUCCUGAUGAUUUCAAGUCUGUAAGGAAAUGGAUAAUAUUCUCUUAAAAAAAAAAUUAGGUAGCUCAUCUUAGGUCAUUCUAAUUACUGCAGCAGCUUCUUAAAAUUCUUCUAUGCCAUAGGGCUUCCCUGGUGGCACAGUGGUUAAGAACCCACCUGCCAUUGCAGGGUACACAGGUUCGAGCCCUGGUCCGGGAAGAUCCCACAUGCUGUGGAGCAACUAAGCCUGUGUACCACAACUACUGAGCCUGCGCUCUAGAGCCCGCGAGCCACAACUACAGAGCUCACGUGCUAAAAUUACUGAAGCCCGCGCGCCUAGAGCCCGUGCUCCGCAACAAGAGAAGCCACCACAAUGAGAAGCCCGCGCACCACAACGAAGACCCCACGCAGCCAAAAAUAAAUAAAUAAAUAAAAUUUAAAAAAUAAAAAUUUUUCUAUGCCAUAAUUGUCUAUAUACAUGUGAACCUUUUGUAACCAUUCCUUUGUUUUUUAUUCUCAUUUGCUUCACAAGUACUUGGCAUAUUGUUUUCAAAGAUAGCUACAAUUUCUCCCAUCCCACCAGCCCCAUAGUGAUAUGACUUUAUCACUCUUAUUAUUAAGAGAUGAAGUCUCUUUCCCCUCCCCUUGGUCUGUGCUGGUCCUGAGAUCUGCUGUGACCAACGGCAUGCAACAGAUGUGACACUGUGUGACUUCUGGCUCUAAGUUUUAAGAGGUCUUGAGGUUUCCAUUUUCACCCUUGGAAAGAUGUUCAACCUAGACUACCAACUAAUACGAGCAGACCAAGAUAACCAAGUGCAGAUAAAGGUUACAUGGAGGACUGCUUUCAGCAUGAGAGCCCCAAAUAUGUGUGUGCCGUCUUGGAUCCUCCAGCCCCAGUCAAGCCACCCCAGCCAGCACGGUAUGGAGCAAGAAGCAAGCUGUCUCCUGUGACUCUUGCUCAAGUUCCUGACCCACAGAAUGGUGAGCAAUAAAAUGGUUGCUGAUUUCAGCUACUAAGUUUUGGAGUGGAUUGUGAUGCAGCAAAAGAUUACUGGAACUUUUCUUUUCUUCCUCUUGUCAUUACAUUGUUUUUCAGGACAGGAACCAUGUCCAAUGCAUUUUUUUGAUGUCUCUCCACAAAGCAAUGUACUGAUUGCACAAUAGCUGUAACUGAGUGUUAAUUCCACUUCAAAUGUCUGGAGAAAAUUUCUCAGGAUUAAGUUGAUAAAUUUCAUUGAAUGUUC